CUGAUGCAGCCAUGCCGCGUGAAUGAUGAAGGCCUUAGGGUUGUAAAAUUCUUUCGCUAGGGAUGAUAAUGACAGUACCUAGUAAAGAAGCCCCGGCUAACUUCGUGCCAGCAGCCGCGGUAAUACGAAGGGGGCUAGCGUUGUUCGGAAUUACUGGGCGUAAAGCGCACGUAGGCGGACUAUUAAGUCAGGGGUGAAAUCCCGGGGCUCAACCCCGGAACUGCCUCUGAUACUGGUAGUCUUGAGUUCGAGAGAGGUGAGUGGAAUUC
rnacentral:rRNA from 1 species